rnacentral:rRNA from 1 species
AGAUUGAACGCUGGCGGCAUGCCUUACACAUGCAAGUCGAACGGUAGAGUAGCAAUACUUGAGAGUGGCGAACGGGUGAGUAAUAUAUCGGAACGUGCCCAGUCGUGGGGGAUAACGUAGAGAAAUUUACGCUAAUACCGCAUACGAUCUAAGGAUGAAAGCGGGGGACUCGCAAGAGCCUCGCGCGAUUGGAGCGGCUGAUAUCAGAUUAGGUUGUUGGUGAGGUAAAAGCUCACCAAGCCGACGAUCUGUAGCUGGUUUGAGAGAACGACCAGCCACACUGGGACUGAGACACGGCCCAGACUCCGUACGGGAGCAG